rnacentral:tRNA from 1 species
GGAAGAUUAACCCUAAUUGGUAAGGGAGUAGUCUUGAAAACUACUAGUAGCUGUGUGCGAGCACGGUGUGUCAGUUCAAGUCUGACAUCUUCCUCCA